rnacentral:rRNA from 1 species
CGCGAUAAGGGAACCUCGAGUGCCAGGUUACAAAUCUGGCUGUCGUCAUGCCUAAAAAGCAUUGCAUAGCAAGGGCCGGGCAAGACCGGUGCCAGCCGCCGCGGUAACACCGGCGGCUCGAGUGGUAACCGCUUUUAUUGGGUCUAAAGGGUCUGUAGCCGGCCGAUUAAGUCUUUUGGGAAAUCCGGCUGCUCAACCGUUGGGCUUUCAGGAGAUACUGUCUGGCUCGAGGCCGGGAGAGGUGAGAGGUACUUCAGGGGUAGGGGUGAAAUCUUGUAAUCCUUGAAGGACCACCAGUGGCGAAGGCGUCUCACCAGAACGGACCUGACGGCAAGGGACGAAAGCUGGGGGCACGAACCGGAUUAGAUACCCGGGUAGUCCUAGCCGUAAACGAUACUCGCUAGGUGUCAGCCACGGUGCGACCGUGGUCGGUGCCGUAGGGAAGACCUGAAGCGAGCCACCUGGGAAGUACGGCCGCAAGGCUGAAACUUAA